AUUGAACGCUAGCGGGAUGCUUUACACAUGCAAGUCGAACGAGUGGCGGACGGGUGAGUAAUAUAUCAGCACGUGCCCAAUAGCGGGAGCUAACUCCUCUAAAGCGUGGCUAAUACCGCAUACUACUGGCGCGGCCGAUUUCGGUUUCGCUAGUUGGGGGGGUAAAGGCUCACCAAGGAAACGCUCCGUAGCAGGUUUGAGAGGACGACCAGCCACACUGGGAAUGGGACACGGCCCAGACUCCUACGGGAGGCAGCAGUGGGGAAUUUUGGACAAUGGGGGAAACCCUGAUCCAGCCAUGCCGCGUGAAUGAGAAGGCCUUCGGUUUGUAAAGUACUUUUGGCAGAGAAGCGGUAUCUGCAGAAUAAGCAACGGCUAACUACGUGCCAGCAGCCGCGGUAAUAC
rnacentral:rRNA from 1 species